CGAAGCACCCACUGCUGCCCCCGACGUAGCCUCUGUUGCUAGCAACCCCGAAGCAGCCUCUGUCGCUGCUGUCCCUGAAGCAGUCUCUGAAGAAAUUGCUGAUGGUGACGCCACUGAGGCCUACGCCACAGCAGAACCAGCCGCCGCAGAUCAAGCCGCCGCUCUCCCUGCAGACCGAGCCGUCGCUCACCCUGCAGACCCGGCCGUCGCUGACCCUGCAGACCCGGCCGUCGCUGACCCUGCAGAACCAGCCGCCGCAGAUCAAGCCGUCGCUCACCCUGCAGACCCGGCCGUCGCUGACCCUGCAGACCCGGCCGUCGCUGACCCUGCAGACCCAGCCGUCGCAGACCCAGCCGACGCUCACCCAGCUUGUGCGUACCCUACAGCCAGCGCUGCCGACCCGGACCCCGCAGCCACCGCUGCCGACCCGCACCCCGCAGCUGACCCGGACCCUGCUGCCACAGCUGCCAACCAAGAUCCUCCAGCAUCCGUUUCCGAUGCAGGCCCAGCAGCACCCUCUGCCGAGACCGGUCCAGCAGCACCUUCUGAUGGCGUCGCUGCUGAGGGCUCUGCUGUUCCAAGCGCCCCUGGCCGGAGUGCCCCUGUCCGGAGCGCCCCUGUCCGGAGCGCCCCUGUCCCGAGCGCCCCUGUCCCGAGCGCCCCUGUCCCGAGCGCCCCGGUCCCGAGCGUCCCAGGCGUCCCUGUCCCGAGCGUCCCAGGCUCUCCUGUCCCGAGCGUCCCAGGCGCCCCUGUCCCGAGCGCCCCAGGCUCCCCUGUCCCGAGCGUCCCAGGCUCCCCUGUCCCGAGCGUCCCAGGCUCCCCUGUCCCGAGCGCCUCAGGCGUUCCUGUCCAAGGUGUCCUUGCGCCGGUUCCAGGCGUCCAUGCGCCGGCCCCAGGCGCUCCGGACCCUGUCUCCAGUGUUCCUGGGUUCCUUGUCCCAGCUGCAGCAGACCCAGGGUUCGGUGCCGCCAGCCCUAAUGAACCAGCGAGUCCAGGUGCCACGUCUACCCCAGCCACUGGCCCUGCAACCCCAAACACCAAUCGAUAUCGCUGGCAUCUAUUUGUUGUGAGGGUUAUUGUUGUGUUUAUUGUUGGUCUGUUUGGCCGGUCGCCAAAGACUCUGC
ensembl:lncRNA